CACCAUACAAGAUUCUUACUACCUGUGAAUUUGCUAACCUGCCACAUGAUGUUUUUCCCUCUCUCCUCUCCAUGCUUUACAGAGUUGAUCCUCUCACCCCCAAAGAAUAGGUCACAGUCCACGGCCUGGAAAUCCAGGGCUACACUCAUUUUCCUAUACCUGAAUGAACCAUUCAUCCUCUCUGUAACUCGCUGCCUUGUUUGGUGACAUAAUGAAGCGAAGAUGAAAUGACAGUGGAAGUCCUUUCUGAGCUGUCCCGUAAGGAGCCGUGCAUGCCCUGCCCUUGUGAUCCCCCGCUGAAGACUCUCCCUGUUGUCAUAGAUGUCCUGCCAGUCUGGCUCUCGAAUGUCUCCCGCCCCUUAACUCCUCCACCCCUGAGUGUGGAUCGCAUCGGAUCACUGUGCUGCCAUUAGUUUAUGUGGCUCUCACUUCAGGAAGGGAACCCACUUUGAGCAUCCAGACCACUGACACUGUAGCUGCCGCAAAGCAGGCGAUGAUGCAAAUAAAAUCAAUCCCAUGUUUUCAAUUUCCACUGGGAUGUUCGAUGAACUCACCGUCUGAUCUCAGGCCCAGGUGCCAUUUCCC
rnacentral:lncRNA from 1 species